UAAAUCAUUAUAAUUUCGAAUCUAAAUUAGAGGAAUCGUACACUAAUAUACUUGAAUUUGACAAUAUUCGCCAAGUCUUUUAUGAUUUAAUAUUGCACUUGUCUAAUGGAGAAAAAAGUGAAAAAAAUGAAUUUGAGUAUUGUAAACAAUAUUCUUCUUUCCAUCAAGGUCUGUAUAAUGUACACAGACAAGUUGUAAUUAAAAGUUUUCAAGAGUUUAGUGUGCGAUAUUUCUCUUUAAUGGGACAGGCAAUUUGUGAUUCACAAGGCUAUAUGUGGGAACUCAAACGGAUGGAGGAAAACUUAUUCAAUUCAUUGAAAACAAUAAUGGAGUUAACCAGGGAAGUUUUGAACAACACGACAUAUUAUAUGUAUCCGUGUGAUCCGUCAUAUUUUGA